AGCGAACGCUGGCGGCAGGCCUAACACAUGCAAGUCGAACGAUCCUUCGGGAUAGUGGCGGACGGGUGAGUAACACGUGGGAACGUGCCCUUUGGUUCGGAACAACUCAGGGAAACUUGAGCUAAUACCGAAUGUGCCCUUCGGGGGAAAGAUUUAUCGCCAUUGGAGCGGCCCGCGUCUGAUUAGCUAGUUGGUGAGGUAAUGGCUCACCAAGGCGACGAUCAGUAGCUGGUCUGAGAGGAUGAUCAGCCACACUGGGACUGAGACACGGCCCAGACUCCUACGGGAGGCAGCAGUGGGGAAUCUUGCGCAAUGGGCGAAAGCCUGACGCAGCCAUGCCGCGUGAAUGAUGAAGGUCUUAGGAUUGUAAAAUUCUUUCACCGGGGACGAUCAUGACGGUACCCGGAGAAGAGGCUCCGGCUAACUUCGUGCCAGCAGCCGCAGUAAAAC
rnacentral:rRNA from 1 species